rnacentral:tRNA from 1 species
GCGGCCGACGAGCAAUGGUGCCGACUUGCUGGCAAAUCAUAUUCGCUGCUGAGGGAGCAGGUGAGAUGGGUUCGAGUCCCAUGGGCCGCA